rnacentral:lncRNA from 1 species
AUGGCGGCGUCAAGAACACGAGGCAGCACGGCGCGAUGUGAGAGCGAGGUGAUGGGGUUCACUGACAUGCCCUUGGAGUAUCUGGAUGAGCACAAGCCGUGUGGCCUCGGCGGCGACGGCGACGAGCUGCAGCAUGACGCCGAACGCGUCGAACCGCGCCUCACCGUAGGCGGCAACGGCGACGCCCGCGGAGAUGCCGAGCUGAGCAUGUUGAGCAUGGAGGCGCUGCGGAAGGAGUCGCGGAAGGCGGGCGAACGUUGCAGCGAGCGGGCGGGCGGCGGAGCAGAGCGGCGGCGGCAGGCAAGCGUACGGCCAGCGGAGCGGAACGGCGGCGAGCGAGCGGCCAGGGGAGUGGAGCGGAGCGGCGACAGCAUCCGCGGCGGCACCGGCGCAGCUGGAGGAGGAAGAGGAGCAACCUCAUUCAUCACUCCAUUGAACCACUCAAACGACAACGGCUCCCGGGUAAUCCAGGAAAAUUGUGCGCGGCUUGUUCUGUAUGCCUUCUUCUUGUUGUUACUUCUUGUUGACACACUUAAGCUGUUGGCGACAACCGACGGCACCCGGCAAGAAAGGAAGGAGCGGCGGGAGGUGGCCGGCGAUCGAGGAGGGAGCCGCGGCAUUCCUCGGCGGUGGAGGAGGUGGCGGCUAUGGCGGAAGGCGGUUGGCAAGGCGGAGGAGGUGCAGCCGGCAGCCACCGCCCCUGUGGAGGAAGAAGAAGAAGAUGAAGACUCAGACCGCCACGUCACCGGC